rnacentral:rRNA from 1 species
GUUCUUUUGAUAAUAAUUUAAGGUCUAAUCUGCUCAAUGAGGAGUUAAAUAGCCGCAGUAUUUUGACUGUGCGAAGGUAGCAUAAUAAUUAGUCUCUUGAUUGGGGACUUGUAUGAAUGAUUGAACAAGAAAAUUUCUGUCUCUUUUUAAUUUUUAUUUGAAUUUAAUUUUUGAGUUAAAAUGCUCAAAUAUUUCUAAAAGACGAGAAGACCCCAUAGAGUUUUAUUUUUAUUUAUUUUUAGUAUAAUAAUUUUAAGGAAAAAUUAGUUGGGGUGACUAGAAGAUUUAAUAAACUCUUUAAAUUAAAAUCAUUGAUUUAUGAAUAUUAAGUCUAAUUUUUUAAGUUUAAAUUAAAUUACCUUGGGGAUAACAGCGUAAUUUCUUUUUAGAGUUCUUAUCAAAUAAGAAGAUUGCGACCUCGAUGUUGGAUUAAAAUUUAUUUUGGGUGUAGAAGCUUAAAAAUUAAGUCUGUUCGACUUUUAAAAUUUU